AUCCUGCAGGGACCACCAGUGGCGAAGGCGUCUANUCAUAACGGCUCUGACGGUGAGGAACGAAACCCUGGGGCGCAAACGGGAUUAGAUACCCCCGGUAGUCCAGGGCGUAAACGCUGCUGACUUGGUGUUGGAGAUCCUACGAGGGUGACCAGUGCUGGCGCGAAGGUAUUAAGUCAGCCGCCUGGGGAGUACGGUCGCAAUACUGAAACUUAAAGGAAUUGGCGGGGGAGCACUGCAACGUGUGGAGCGUGCGGUUUAAUUGGAUUCAACGCCGGAAAACUCACCGGGGGCGACGGUUACGUGAAGGCCAAGCUGAUGACUUUGCCUGAUUUUCCGAGAGGUGGUGCAUGGCCGCCGUCAGUUCGUACCGUAAGGCGUUCUGUUAAGUCAGAUAACGAACGAGACCUCCGUCACCAUUUGCUAUCUUCUUCUCCGGAAGGGGAGCACUAUGGUGGUACCGCCGCUGUUAAAGCGGAGGAAGGAGGGGGCAACGGUAGGUCAGUAUGCCCCGAAUCUCCCGGGCUACACGCGCGCUACAAAGGGCAGGACAAUGGGCUUCGACACCGAAAGGUGAAGGCAAUCCUGAAACCUGCUCGUAAUUCGGAUUGAGGGCUGCAAUUCGCCCUCAUGAAGCUGGAAUACGUAGUAAUCGCGGGUCAACAUCCCGCGGUGAAUAUGCCCCUGCUCCUUGCACACACCGCCCGU
rnacentral:rRNA from 1 species